GACGAACGCUGGCGGCGUGCCUAAUACAUGCAAGUCGAACGCUGAAGGAGGAGCUUGCUUCUCUGGAUGAGUUGCGAACGGGUGAGUAACGCGUAGGUAACCUGCCUGGUAGCGGGGGAUAACUAUUGGAAACGAUAGCUAAUACCGCAUAAUAGCAGUUGUUGCAUGACAACUGUUUGAAAGGUGCAAUUGCACCACUACCAGAUGGACCUGCGUUGUAUUAGCUAGUUGGUGGGGUAACGGCUCACCAAGGCGACGAUACAUAGCCGACCUGAGAGGGGGAGCGGCCACACUGGGACGGAGACACGGCCCAGACUCCUACGGGAGGCAGCAGUAGGGAAUCUUCGGCAAGGGACGGAAGUCUGACCGAGCAACGCCGCGGGAGGGAAGAAGGUUGUCGGAUCGUAAAGCUCGGUUGUAAGGGAAGAACGAGUGUGAGAGUGGAAAGUUCACACUGUGACGGUAGCUUACCAGAAAGGGACGGCUAACUACGUG
rnacentral:rRNA from 1 species